AACGGCCGCGGUAUCCUAACCGUGCGAAGGUAGCGUAAUCACUUGUUCUUUAAAUGAGGACUAGUAUGAAUGGCACCACGAGGGUUAAGCUGUCUCCUUUUUCUAAUCAGUGAAACUAAUCUCCCCGUGAAGAAGCGGGGAUUAUAUUAUAAGACGAGAAGACCCUAUGGAGCUUAAAACAAAUUAACACCUGCUUCUGCCUAAUUUACUUCAUGAAUUAACAUAUAAAGUAUAGCAUCGCUGAUUAAUAGUUUUCGAUUGGGGUGAUCAUGGAGUAAAAAAUAACCUCCACGACGAAAAGGAACACUUCCCUGAGCCAAAAGCCACAACUUUAAGCACUAAAAAAUUGACGCACUUUGACCCAAAUUUUUGAGCAACGAACCAAGUUACCCUAGGGAUAACAGCGCAAUCCACUUCAAGAGCCCCUAUCGACAAGUGGGUUUACGACCUCGAUGUUGGAUCAGGGUGUCCCAGUGGUGCAGCCGCUACUAAAGGUUCGUUUGUUCAACGAUUAAAACCCUACGUGAUCUGAGUUCAGACCGGAGAAAUCCAGGUCAGUUUCUAUCUAUAAAGGGCUUUUUCCAGUACGAAAGGACCGAAAAAGCAUGGCCAAUGACCAAUUAAGCCAUAUAAGUUACCAAUGUUUUCAACUUAAUUAGAAGCAAACCUACCACAAACCUCAAAAAAAGAGAAGUCAACGUAGCAAAACCUGGCCCUGCAA
rnacentral:rRNA from 1 species